GACGAACCGAGCGAACAUUGUUCGGAAUCACUGGGCUUAAAGGGCGCGUAGGCGGACUGCAUAGUCUGGGGUGAAAUACCACGGCUCAACCGUGGAACGGCCUCAGAUACUGGUGGUCUCGAGGGGGGUAGGGGCGUGCGGAACUGUGAGUGGAGCGGUGAAAUGCGUUGAUAUUCACAGGAACUCCGGUGGCGAAGGCGGCACGCUGGACCUUCACUGACGCUGAGGCGCGAAAGCCAGGGGAGCAAACGGG
rnacentral:rRNA from 1 species